GAUGAACGCUGGCGGCGUGCUUAACACAUGCAAGUCGAACGAAGCGCUUGAAACAGAUUCUUCGGAUGAAGUUUCCUGUGACUGAGUGGCGGACGGGUGAGUAACGCGUGGGUAACCUGCCUCAUACAGGGGGAUAACAGUUAGAAAUGGCUGCUAAUACCGCAUAAGCGCACGGCAUCGCAUGAUGCAGUGUGAAAAACUCCGGUGGUAUGAGAUGGACCCGCGUUGGAUUAGCUAGUUGGCAGGGUAACGGCCUACCAAGGCGACGACCCAUAGCCGGCCUGAGAGGGUGGACGGACACAUUGGGACUGAGACACGGCCCAGACUCCUACGGGAGGCAGCAGUGGGGAAUAUUGCACAAUGGGGGAAACCCUGAUGCAGCGACGCCGCGUGAGCGAAGAAGUAUUUCGGUAUGUAAAGCUCUAUCAGCAGGGAAGAGAAUGACGGUACCUGACUAAGAAGCCCCGGCUAACUACGUGCCAGCCGCCGCGGUAA
rnacentral:rRNA from 1 species